UGCACGCUCCUUAGAUCCAUCUCUGAUUAUCAUAAGAGAUGCUUGAGUCAUAAGUGUGCUAGAAUACGCAAUACCUUCUCUUUAAUCCCAAUUCUUCGAUUUUAAUCAUGUCGGUCGAAGGUAAGGGUUAUCGAGUGGACAGU